CCGUUUCCUCUUCCAAUCACAAGCAGCCUGACCGAAGUCUAGACGCAUCAUAACUCACUUCCGUCGGCGUCUCAUCUUCAUCUCCUCCUUCCCCUAAAAAGGCGUUUUACCUCCUCUUUAUUUUUCCUUUCCCUUCAUCUCCCCCGUACAGUUUUACUCACGCAAACGAAUCAUCUCUCUGUCUUAUUAUUGCAUCCAAUUCAAUAGCAGUAUAUAGCUAGCCAUCGGAUCAGAUGUUGCACAACUACCAGAUCGAAAAAAAUCCUCUCCUUCAGUAGCGGAUGGUGAUGUUGAACUGCUGAUGGUGCCACGCCACCACAGACCUGCACGCAUCUGCCGACCCGGGCUCCUAUGAUCACCGGUUAAACUGAGCCCCGUUGCCCAUCAAUAGAGUGUGUGGGUUCCGGUGGCCCGAGCCCGUGCCCAGUGCUAACCAUGAUCCACAUACGCCAUCGUCGGCGCCAUCCUCGAACAUCACCUGCAGGAAAGGAAGCCUCUUUUUAGCAGCUCCGCUCGGUCUCCAAGCACCUUCUCUCCGGCAGAAAGUCCAGCCAAUUUCUCUCACCUACAAACCUUUCUGAUUUGAAGAACAAUUGGGUAAGCGUGUAAAGAGAUAAGAUAGAUUAUGCUAUCUCUAUGACCUGGUAAGUUUUGAUUGGAGUUACUUUUUUUUGCAGGAAAGUUUUGAUUGGAGUUACUAGAUGGUGAAAAUUUCUUUUCAUUAGUCUUUAUUUUUCUUGAAGGAAUAGACAUAUGAAACUUACUAUUUACUACAUGCAGCACAAUCGUCUCUCUCUUCCACAAACACAUGUUAUUUUAGUAUGAAUUUUAUUUGUAUUUUUAUUGCUUCCCUUGGAUUGUUCUGUAGAAGAAACAUAUGACAUAGUGUUUUUCAUUUUCAGGUUUGUUGUUGUCUAGCAGUAUUAUUCCACUGUGAAUAACAUGAGAUCGGUCUAAUAUCCGAGUGAUGCCAUUGUGUGACUGGCAUUGUCGUUCAUCUACUCCAAGGUUCAAAAUUCAAGGUUUUGUUUUUCGGUUGCUAGGCAUUCUGGAGGUUCCAUGUUUUAUGCAAUUCAUCCAUGCUGAGAUAUAAUUUGAAAUGCCACAUGGUUUCAUACUCCCAGUCAUGUCCUUAACAUGUCUAUUUGCUCCUCCUACAUAUUCCCUUCAUAUAUGUAAUAGUAUAGCCCAUCAUCAAAUAAUGCAUUUCCUACUUCUAAAAGGUACGUUUUUUCUUCCCAUAAUUUGGCCUGACCACACCUUCAGGUUUACAUUCAUGUUUUAUUAUAGUGAAGAAUAUAAUACACUUCCUUGGGCAGGAUGUACAAGUUUGAUGACAAAUAAGGGCCAAUAAGGGUGCUAUUGUGUUUC